rnacentral:rRNA from 1 species
UACGAAGGGUGCAAGCGUUACUCGGAAUUACUGGGCGUAAAGCGUGCGUAGAUGGUUCGUUAAGUCUGCCGUGAAAGCCCCGGGCUCAACCUGGGAAUGGCGGUGGAUACUGGCGGACUAGAGUGCGGUAGAGGGUGGUGGAAUUCCCGGUGUAGCAGUGAAAUGCGUAGAUAUCAAGAGGAACACCAGUGGCGAAGGCGAGUCCCUGGACGAUACCUGACACUGAGGCACGAAAGCUAGGGGAGCAAACAGG